AACAAGUUCAAGUUAAAAGAAACCCAUUUGUUCUGCGUUGGUGUCCCCCCCAGGAGCUCUAGGUCGUUCUGGCUGAUGUGAGGGCUGCAGGGAGAGGUGUCGCUGCAGCUCGUACGCCCUGCGUGCUUCUGCUCACUUUCACUUCCUGCCUAAGCAGCAGCACCUCACAUGGACCACAGAAGGCUUCCUGGAAGACAUGCCCUAUUGCACGUGAGGAUUCAAGAGCCAACUGGGCCCCGGUGGAUGCCAUGGAACCAGCUGGCAGACCUGCGACUGUGGAGAGCUCUCCUCAUGCUCAGCUUGGCAAAGCUGCUCCUCUUGCUUGUUCUCCUUUUCUUUGUACAUAAUAAAAUGGGCUUUUGAUUACUCUUCUCCCCAGAAAAUAUACAUAUAUAUGCUGUUUGGUGGAAGACUUGAGUCCACUGUUGAACAGAAAUGUGUCUUUCUGUCUGUUUCUCUCUGCUUCCAGUUUCUCAAUCUCUGUCUCCCCUUUCCUCUUGUAUCCCAAGGAUUCUGUUAUAAAAGCUUGUGUGUGAGAACGAGACCUUUG
rnacentral:lncRNA from 1 species